UACGUAGGGUGCAAGCGUUGCCCGGAUUUAUUGGGCGUAAAGGGCGCGCAGGCGGCUACGCACGUCCGUUGUGAAAUCGCUCGGCUCAACUGGGCGGGGUCGGCGGAUACGGCGUAGCUGGAGCAAGCUAGGGGGCAAUGGAAUUCCCGGUGUAGUGGUGGAAUGCGUAGAUAUCGGGAGGAACACCAGUGGCGAAGGCGGUUGCCUGGAGCUUUGCUGACGCUGAGGCGCGAAAGCUAGGGGAGCGAACGGG
rnacentral:rRNA from 1 species